GGGCCCGCACAAGCGGUGGAGUAUGUGGUUUAAUUCGAUGCAACGCGAAGAACCUUACCAGGGUUUGACAUCCUGCGAAUCUCUUGGAAACAGGAGAGUGCCUUCGGGAACGCAGUGACAGGUGGUGCAUGGCUGUCGUCAGCUCGUGUCGUGAGAUGUUGGGUUAAGUCCCGCAACGAGCGCAACCCACGUCUUUAGUUGCCAGCAUUUAGUUGGGCACUCUAGAGAGACCGCCGGUGACAAACCGGAGGAAGGUGUGGAUGACGUCAAGGUCAUCAUGCCCCUUACGUCCUGGGCCACACACGUGCUACAAUGGUGGGGACAACAGGUUGCCCAACCCCGCGAGGGU
rnacentral:rRNA from 1 species